UGAUGGCGACCGGCGCACGGGGUGCGUAACGCGUAUGCAACCUACCUUUUACAGGGGCAUAACACUGAGAAAUUGGUACUAAUUCCCCAUAAUAUCUGAGACGGCAUCGUUUUGGGUUGAAAACUCCGGUGGUAAAAGAUGGGCAUGCGUUGUAUUAGCUAGUUGGUGAGGUAACGGCUCACCAAGGCGACGAUACAUAGGGGGACUGAGAGGUUAACCCCCACAUUGGUACUGAGACACGGACCAAACUCCUACGGGAGGCAGCAG
rnacentral:rRNA from 1 species